GACAGAACAUAAAAGCUCCAGAUAAGGCUUGGAACUAUAAAGCUUGAACCAAAGGCGUGAGAAUUGACAAGUCUGUUUGUAGAAGAAAUAUCUUUAAUAACAAGCAUUGCUUCCAUGGAAACGAGGCCUCCAGUCUGAUUUGGAUCCAGGAGUGACAAAGGAGAGCAGAUAUUCAAGCAACUGUGUGCUCACAACUGGACUUCUCUAUGGCAAGAACAACACCGAACCACUUCAGCGAGGGGCCUCACUCAGCAGGAG
ensembl:lncRNA